rnacentral:rRNA from 1 species
UGGGCAACCUGCCCUUAACUCUGGGAUAAGCCUGGGAAACUGGGUCUAAUACCGGAUAUGACUCCUCAUCGCAUGGUGGGGGGUGGAAAGCUUUAUUGUGGUUUUGGAUGGACUCGCGGCCUAUCAGCUUGUUGGUGAGGUAACGGCUCACCAAGGCAACGAUGCGUAGCCGACCUGAGAGGGUGAUCGGCCACAUUGGAACUGAGACACGGUCCAGACCUCCGUACGGGAGGNAG